CAAGGUCCAGAGCAGCUGGGUGGCAGGUUCCUGGAGAUGGCUUUCAAGCAUGGCGCUGUGGUCACAGUUGCCUUUGGAGGAAGAGGGGAGUAACGGGGCCAGAGGCUUGCUUGGAAGGAUGCAUCUCAGUGCUACGGGAGCCAGGACCCAAGGACAUGGAGGGAACGGUCCCCACCAAGUCCCCAGGGACGUCCCACUGCAGGCCAAGAGCAGACGAGCAGAGUGACCCAGACGGCCUCCAAGCUGGCUUAUUUGCAGGACAGGGAUCUUCCCUGGCCUUCUUCCCCUGCUGACUCUCACCACCCUUCUAGAACGAUCGCCCCCAACCUCAACAGGCACCCGGGUCGCCCCGUGAGGCUCCCAGGCCCAGCCUUGGAAGAAUUCCUGAGCUCCACCUACAGGAGCCAGACACAAAGCCCAGUGCACACUUUAGAGGAAGGAGAACAAGGACCAAGCCCGGGAUGUGUGUGCUUCUUGUGCCGAGGACAAGAAGACAUGCAGGGCCCGUGAAGAGCUCCGGGAGGGAGGGAGGAGGCGGCUGCAGCGAGGUAGGCUGGGUCGGCGGACACAGGAGUAGACCCCAGGGGUUCCAUGGACGUGGCCUCUACCUGUGUACAGCCAACGAUCCCCCUGGUCCUAAUGACCCUCCUACUGUACACCUGAGAGCACUGAGGCCCAGAGCAGUUAAGGAAGGGCACACACCUUCCCACGCACCUGGACUUCAGAUCUGCGCCCUGGGGAGCCAGCCGCAGAGACAGCCAGGGUCCUGACACGCUGUGAGGGCUCACUGCCUUGAACAGGUGGAGGGAUUGGGGUGGGGGACGCCUCUAAAGAGAAAGAGGAUCCGGUGCAGUGAUGCUCACCUGUCCUCCCAGCAGCUCAGGAGGCUGAGGCAGGAGGGUCUCGAGUUCAAAGCCAGCCUCAGCCACAGCGAGGCCCUAAGCAACUCGGUGAGACCCUGUCUCUAAAUAAAACACAGAACAGGGCUGGGGACGGGGCUCCGUGGUCGAGGCCCCUGAGAUCAAUCCUUGGUACCUAAAAGCAAAAGGCAGAGAAAGAGUGGGACCAACAGAGACGGAGAGAUGUAAAGCGUAAAGAACAGCAGAGGGAGAGGGUCAGGGCAGCCAGGGGCAGAGC